rnacentral:lncRNA from 1 species
GGGUGGGGGCGAGGCGGGCAAAAGAAGGAGUGAGUGUCGGAGGGGGUGGUUGGGAGGGGCUGGUCUCUGGUACCGCUCAGCCUCUGAUGUCUCCAACACAGUCCUCCCAGAAAAAGAGCUGCGCAGAAGAGCCCGAAGUGGAGCCUGAAGCCCACGAGGGUGACGGUGACAAGAAGGGCAAUGCAGAGGGUAGCAGCGACGAAGAAGGGAAACUGGUCAUCGAUGAGCCAGCCAAGGAGAAGAAUGAAAAGGGCAUGCUGAAGAGGAGAGCAGGGGACAUGCUGGAGGUACCUGCCAGCCAGCCAGCCAUGUGCUCUUGGCACUUUGUGGCUUCUGUCUUACAGCCCAAUCUGAGGUGUAAUCCAGUUCCUAGUCCCUGGGAAUCCAACUGAGAGUGGAG